AAUACUCCAAGUUUCACAUAUAAAAAAAUGUCAUCAUCAAAUUCAUAGUACACAUUUCUCUCAAUUGAGGGGAUUUUUGUGUGGAGUGGGAAUGGAAGAAGAGAGUGAGAUAGAUAGAGAGAGAGAGAUGAUACUUCUCUUUCAAGCUGAUGCAAAGACCACCAUCUUCUAUACUUCCACACCACGGUCGUCGCCGGUGAUGAGCUCCUAAAUCGAGACAUGGGGAAGACUCGGGUCGAAGCUGUCGCAGAUGGAGGUCUCGUGUUGGGCUUCGGCGGCGUGCAGCUUGGAUUCGCUAUAGCAGUCGAUGAUGAUCGAGCGGAGGAUUAUGGUGACAGCUGACAAUGAAGAAGCAAGCCAUGGCCGCCAGAAUUGCUUGGAUGUUUGAUCCAUUUUGGAGAUUGAUUGAGUAGUCGGUUUAUAAUAAUGUAUAUAUAAUUUUGUUAUUAUA